UCAAGCAACUAAGCGCAUACGGUGGAUGCCUUGGCAGUCAGAGGCGAUGAAAGACGUGGAAGCCUGCGAUAAGGUUCGGGGAGCUGGCAAACAAGCUGUGAUCCGGGCAUUUCUGAAUGGGGAAACCCACCGACUUUCGGGUCGGUAUCUUGCACUGAAUACAUAGGUGUAAGAGGCGAACCGGGGGAACUGAAACAUCUAAGUACCCCGAGGAAAAGAAAUCAACCGAGAUUCCGAGAGUAGUGGCGAGCGAAAUUGGAACAGCCUGUACGA
rnacentral:rRNA from 1 species